GACGAACCGUGCGAACGUUAUUCGGAAUCACUGGGCUUAAAGCGCGUGUAGGCGGGACGGCACGUCGGUCGCUGAAAGCCCCCGGCUCAACCGGGGAACGGGCGCCGAUACGACCGGCCUGGAGGGAUGUAGGGGGACCUGGAACUUCCGGUGGAGCGGUGAAAUGCGUAGAUAUCGAGAGGAACACCAGUGGCGAAGGCGAGUCUCUGGACGACUCCUGACACUGAGGCACGAAAGCUGGGGGAGCAAACAGG
rnacentral:rRNA from 1 species